rnacentral:rRNA from 1 species
GGGUUGUGAGGUUAAGCGACUAAGCGUACACGGUGGAUGCCCUGGCAGUCAGAGGCGAUGAAGGGCGUGCUAAUCUGCGAUAAGCGCCGGUAAGGUGAUAUGAACCGUUAUAACCGGCGAUACCCGAAUGGGGAAACCCAGUGUGACUCGUCACACUAUCAUUAACUGAAUCCAUAGGUUAAUGAGGCGAACCGGGGGAACUGAAACAUCUAAGUACCCCGAGGAAAAGAAAUCAACCGAGAUUCCCCCAGUAGCGGCGAGCGAACGGGGAGGAGCCCAGAGCCUGAAUCAGCAUGUGUGUUAGUGGAAGCGUCUGGAAAGGUGCGCGAUACAGGGUGACAGCCCCGUACACAAAAGCGCAUGUGCUGUGAGCUCGAUGAGUAGGGCGGGACACGUGGUAUCCUGUCUGAAUAUGGGGGGACCAUCCUCCAAGGCUAAAUACUCCUGACUGACCGAUAGUGAACCAGUACCGUGAGGGAAAGGCGAAAAGAACCCCGGCGAGGGGAGUGAAAAAGAACCUGAAACCGUGUACGUACAAGCAGUGGGAGCCCCACCACCAAAGCAUUCUCUGGUGUUGAAGGCCCUGCAAAGCAGCAUCGCGGUGGCGGAGCGUCGUUUGCGACGCCCAACACACAAAACAAGCGGUGAAUGCUUUGGGGUGGGGUGACUGCGUACCUUUUGUAUAAUGGGUCAGCGACUUAUAUUCUGUAGCAAGGUUAACCGAAUAGGGGAGCCGGAGGGAAACCGAGUCUUAAUUGGGCGUUAAGUUGCAGGGUAUAGACCCGAAACCCGGUGAUCUAGCCAUGGGCAGGUUGAAGGUUGGGUAACACUAACUGGAGGACCGAACCGACUAAUGUUGAAAAAUUAGCGGAUGACCUGUGGCUGGGGGUGAAAGGCCAAUCAAACCGGGAGAUAGCUGGUUCUCCCCGAAAGCUAUUUAGGUAGCGCCUCGUGAAUUCAUCUCCGGGGGUAGAGCACUGUUUCGGCUAGGGGGCCAUCCCGGCUUACCAACCCGAUGCAAACUGCGAAUACCGGAGAAUGUUAUCACGGGAGACACACGGCGGGUGCUAACGUCCGUCGUGAAGAGGGAAACAACCCAGACCGCCAGCUAAGGUCCCAAAGUCAUGGUUAAGUGGGAAACGAUGUGGGAAGGCCCAGACAGCCAGGAUGUUGGCUUAGAAGCAGCCAUCAUUUAAAGAAAGCGUAAUAGCUCACUGGUCGAGUCGGCCUGCGCGGAAGAUGUAACGGGGCUAAACCAUGCACCGAAGCUGCGGCAGCGACGCUGAUGCGUUGUUGGGUAGGGGAGCGUUCUGUAAGCCUGCGAAGGUGACCUGUGAGGGUUGCUGGAGGUAUCAGAAGUGCGAAUGCUGACAUAAGUAACGAUAAAGCGGGUGAAAAGCCCGCUCGCCGGAAGACCAAGGGUUCCUGUCCAACGUUAAUCGGGGCAGGGUGAGUCGACCCCUAAGGCGAGGCCGAAAGGCGUAGUCGAUGGGAAACGGGUUAAUAUUCCCGUACUUGGUGUUACUGCGAAGGGGGGACGGAGAAGGCUAUGUUGGCCGGGCGACGGUUGUCCCGGUUUAAGCGUGUAGGUGUGUGUUCCAGGUAAAUCCGGUUCACUUUAACACUGAGGCGUGAUGACGAGGCACUACGGUGCUGAAGCAACAAAUGCCCUGCUUCCAGGAAAAGCCUCUAAGCAUCAGGUAACAUCAAAUCGUACCCCAAACCGACACAGGUGGUCAGGUAGAGAAUACCAAGGCGCUUGAGAGAACUCGGGUGAAGGAACUAGGCAAAAUGGUGCCGUAACUUCGGGAGAAGGCACGCUGACACGUAGGUGAAGUGAUUUACUCACGGAGCUGAAGUCAGUCGAAGAUACCAGCUGGCUGCAACUGUUUAUUAAAAACACAGCACUGUGCAAACACGAAAGUGGACGUAUACGGUGUGACGCCUGCCCGGUGCCGGAAGGUUAAUUGAUGGGGUCAGCGCAAGCGAAGCUCCUGAUCGAAGCCCCGGUAAACGGCGGCCGUAACUAUAACGGUCCUAAGGUAGCGAAAUUCCUUGUCGGGUAAGUUCCGACCUGCACGAAUGGCGUAAUGAUGGCCAGGCUGUCUCCACCCGAGACUCAGUGAAAUUGAACUCGCUGUGAAGAUGCAGUGUACCCGCGGCAAGACGGAAAGACCCCGUGAACCUUUACUAUAGCUUGACACUGAACAUUGAGCCUUGAUGUGUAGGAUAGGUGGGAGGCUUUGAAGUGUGGACGCCAGUCUGCAUGGAGCCGACCUUGAAAUACCACCCUUUAAUGUUUGAUGUUCUAACGUGGACCCGUAAUCCGGGUUGCGGACAGUGUCUGGUGGGUAGUUUGACUGGGGCGGUCUCCUCCUAAAGAGUAACGGAGGAGCACGAAGGUUGGCUAAUCCUGGUCGGACAUCAGGAGGUUAGUGCAAUGGCAUAAGCCAGCUUGACUGCGAGCGUGACGGCGCGAGCAGGUGCGAAAGCAGGUCAUAGUGAUCCGGUGGUUCUGAAUGGAAGGGCCAUCGCUCAACGGAUAAAAGGUACUCCGGGGAUAACAGGCUGAUACCGCCCAAGAGUUCAUAUCGACGGCGGUGUUUGGCACCUCGAUGUCGGCUCAUCACAUCCUGGGGCUGAAGUAGGUCCCAAGGGUAUGGCUGUUCGCCAUUUAAAGUGGUACGCGAGCUGGGUUUAGAACGUCGUGAGACAGUUCGGUCCCUAUCUGCCGUGGGCGCUGGAGAACUGAGGGGGGCUGCUCCUAGUACGAGAGGACCGGAGUGGACGCAUCACUGGUGUUCGGGUUGUCAUGCCAAUGGCACUGCCCGGUAGCUAAAUGCGGAAGAGAUAAGUGCUGAAAGCAUCUAAGCACGAAACUUGCCCCGAGAUGAGUUCUCCCUGAGACUUUAGGUCUCCUGAAGGAACGUUGAAGACGACGACGUUGAUAGGCCGGGUGUGUAAGCGCAGCGAUGCGUUGAGCUAACCGGUACUAAUGAACCGUGAGGCUUAACCUUACAACGCCGAAG